rnacentral:rRNA from 1 species
GACGAACGCUGGCGGCGUGCUUAACACAUGCAAGUCGAACGGUAAGGCUCCAGCUUGCUGGGGUACACGAGUGGCGAACGGGUGAGUAACACGUGGGUGACCUGCCCUGCACUUCGGGAUAAGCCUGGGAAACUGGGUCUAAUACCGGAUAGGACCGCACCGUGAGGGUGUGGUGGAAAGUUUUUUCGGUGUGGGAUGGGCCCGCGGCCUAUCAGCUUGUUGGUGGGGUAAUGGCCUACCAAGGCGGCGACGGGUAGCCGGCCUGAGAGGGUGGACGGCCACAUUGGGACUGAGACACGGCCCAGACUCCUACGGGAGGCAGCAGUGGGGAAUAUUGCACAAUGGGCGGAAGCCUGAUGCAGCGACGCCGCGUGGGGGAUGACGGCCUUCGGGUUGUAAACUCCUUUCACCAUCGACGAAGGGUUUCUGACGGUAGAUGGAGAAGAAGCACCGGCUAACUACGUGCCAGCAGCCGCGGUAAUACGUAGGGUGCGAGCGUUGUCCGGAAUUACUGGGCGUAAAGAGCUCGUAGGUGGUUUGUCGCGUCGUCUGUGAAAUUCCGGGGCUUAACUCCGGGCGUGCAGGCGAUACGGGCAUAACUUGAGUACUGUAGGGGAGACUGGAAUUCCUGGUGUAGCGGUGAAAUGCGCAGAUAUCAGGAGGAACACCGGUGGCGAAGGCGGGUCUCUGGGCAGUAACUGACGCUGAGGAGCGAAAGCAUGGGGAGCGAACAGGAUUAGAUACCCUGGUAGUCCAUGCCGUAAACGGUGGGCGCUAGGCGUGGGUUUCCUUCCACGGGAUCCGUGCCGUAGCUAACGCAUUAAGCGCCCCGCCUGGGGAGUACGGCCGCAAGGCUAAAACUCAAAGGAAUUGACGGGGGCCCGCACAAGCGGCGGAGCAUGUGGAUUAAUUCGAUGCAACGCGAAGAACCUUACCUGGGCUUGACAUAUACAGGAUCGCGCCAGAGAUGGUGUUUCCCUUGUGGCUUGUAUACAGGUGGUGCAUGGUUGUCGUCAGCUCGUGUCGUGAGAUGUUGGGUUAAGUCCCGCAACGAGCGCAACCCUUGUCUUAUGUUGCCAGCACGUUGUGGUGGGGACUCGUAAGAAACUGCCGGGGUUAACUCGGAGGAAGGUGGGGAUGACGUCAAAUCAUCAUGCCCCUUAUGCCCAGGGCUUCACACAUGCUACAAUGGUCGGUACAGUGGGUUGCCAGUCCGUGAGGGCGAGCUAAUCCCGCAAAGCCGGUCUCAGUUCGGAUCGGGGUCUGCAACUCGACCCCGUGAAGUCGGAGUCGCUAGUAAUCGCAGAUCAGCAACGCUGCGGUGAAUACGUUCCCGGGCCU